rnacentral:lncRNA from 1 species
UCGAAGGAAUUUGAUAAUCUUAGUAAAUUACAUGAUAAUUAUAUUACAGACUAUGCUAAUUUAUUAGAUCAAAGGAUGAAAUUAUAUAUUAAAACUCGAAAUGAGAGAAAUAGAGGAAUUUAAGACUAUCCCAAUAAAUUAAGGAUAUCUUGUGCAAUAUAUGAUAAAUUAUUUCAUUAAGGGUAUUAUUGACAUUUUACCAAAAAUGAAUAGUAGUAGGCCAUUUAUAAAAAUCUCCC